rnacentral:rRNA from 1 species
AUUGAACGCUGGCGGCAUGCCUUACACAUGCAAGUCGAACGGCAGCACGGGUGCUUGCACCUGGUGGCGAGUGGCGAACGGGUGAGUAAUAUAUCGGAACGUACCUUAUUGUGGGGGAUAACGCAGCGAAAGCUGUGCUAAUACCGCAUAAUCCCUAAGGGGGAAAGCGGGGGACCGUAAGGCCUCGCGCAAUUAGAGCGGCCGAUACCUGAUUAGCUAGUUGGUGAGGUAAAGGCUCACCAAGGCAACGAUCAGUAGCUGGUCUGAGAGGACGAACAGCCACACUGGGACUGAGACACGGCCCAGACUCCUACGGGAGGCAGCAGUGGGGAAUUUUGGACAAUGGGGGCAACCCUGAUCCAGCAAUGCCGCGUGAGUGAAGAAGGCCUUCGGGUUGUAAAGCUCUUUUGUCAGGGAAGGAACAGCAGCUCUAACACAGUUUGCGAAUGACGGUACCUGAAGAAUAAGCCCCGGCUAACUUCGUGCCAGCAGCCGCAGUAA